rnacentral:misc_RNA from 1 species
GAUGAUGGGCGUGUUGUCAGCAAUUUCAUUGCUCAAGCACUUCGUGAUGAACCAUUGACUGUCCAAAAACCUGGAACUCAAACUCGCAGUUUCUGUUAUGUUUCUGACAUGGUUGAUGGCCUCAUUCGACUCAUGGAAGGAGAGAACACUGGGCCAAUCAACAUUGGAAAUCCAGGUGAAUUUACCAUGAUUGAACUUGCUGAAAAUGUGAAGGAGCUUAUCAAUCCUGAUGUGGAGAUAAAGAUGGUGGAAAAUACUCCUGAUGAUCCAAGGCAGAGGAAACCUGACAUCACAAAGGCAAAGGAAUUGCUAGGUUGGGAACCAAAAGUCAAGUUGAGGGACGGCCUUCCCCUUAUGGAAGAGGACUUCCGCUUGAGACUAGGAGUCCCCAAAAAGAAAUGAAGAUGAGCAGUGUGAAAUUCUUGGAUGUCAUCAUCAGUGUGUGCUUGUUCUCCAUAUAUUUUACACUUGCCUAUGCCCUUAUUUCAUUCCCAUAUGAUAGGAAAUAAGUGGUGAUGAAUAUCACCCAUUUCCUUUAUUCCUACACUCGCCACGAUUGAGAGACUUGGGAAAGCUUUCUAUAGGUAUUUAACAUUAUAUAGUUAAAUACAAGUUUUUUUUUUUUUUUUUU